rnacentral:rRNA from 1 species
GAUGAACGCUGGCGGCGUGCCUAAUACAUGCAAGUCGAGCGAACAGACGAGGAGCUUACUCCUCUGACGUUAGCGGCGGACGGGUGAGUAACACGUGGAUAACCUACCUAUAAGACUGGGAUAACUUCGGGAAACCGGAGCUAAUACCGGAUAACAUGUUGAACCGCAUGGUUCAACAGUGAAAGACGGUCUUGCUGUCACUUAUAGAUGGAUCCGCGUCGCAUUAGCUAGUUGGUAAGGUAACGGCUUACCAAGGCAACGAUGCGUAGCCGACCUGUGAGGGUGAUAGGCCACACUGGAAGUGAGACACGGUCCAGACUCCUACGGGAGGCAGCAGUAGGGAAUCUUCCGCAAUGGGCGAAAGCCUGACGGAGCAACGCCGCGUGAGUGAAGAAGGUCUUCGGAUCGUAAAACUCUGUUAUUAGGGAAGAACAAAUGUGUAAGUAACUAUGCACGUCUUGACGGUACCUAAUCAGAAAGCCACGGCUAACUACGUG